CCCAGACUCCUACGGGAGGCAGCAGUGGGGAAUAUUGCACAAUGGGCGCAAGCCUGAUGCAGCCAUGCCGCGUGUAUGAAGAAGGCCUUCGGGUUGUAAAGUACUUUCAGUCGGGAGGAAGGUGGUAAGGUUAAUAACCUUGUCGAUUGACGUUACCCGCAGAAGAAGCACCGGCUAACUCCGUGCCAGCAGCCGCGGUAAUACGGAGGGUGCAAGCGUUAAUCGGAAUUACUGGGCGUAAAGCGCACGCAGGCGGUCUGUCAAGUCGGAUGUGAAAUCCCCGGGCUCAACCUGGGGACUGCAUUCGAAACUGGCAGGCUGGAGUCUUGUAGAGGGGCGUAGAAUUCCAGGUGUAGAGGUGAAAUGCGUAGAGAUCUGGAGGAAAACCGGUGGCGAAGGCGGCCCCCUGGACAAAGAAUGACGCUCAGGUGCGAAAGCGUGGGGAGCAAACAGGAUUAGAGACCCGUGUAGA
rnacentral:rRNA from 1 species